GACUACCGGGGUAUCUAAUCCUGUUUGCUACCCACGCUUUCGUGCAUGAGCGUCAGUAUCGGCCCAGGGGGCUGCCUUCGCCAUCGGUGUUCCUCCACAUCUCUACGCAUUUCACUGCUACACGUGGAAUUCCACCCCCCUCUGCCGUACUCUAGCUUAGCAGUCACAAGCGCAGUUCCCAGGUUGAGCCCGGGGAUUUCACGCCUGUCUUACUAAACCGCCUGCGCACGCUUUACGCCCAGUAAUUCCGAUUAACGCUCGCACCCUACGUAUUACCGCGGCUGCUGGCACGUAGUUAGCCGGUGCUUCUUAUUCCGGUACCGUCAUCCACACAGGGUAUUAGCCUAUGCGAUUUCUUCCCGGCCGAAAGAGCUUUACAACCCGAAGGCCUUCUUCACUCACGCGGCAUGGCUGGAUCAGGGUUGCCCCCAUUGUCCAAAAUUCCCCACUGCAGCCUCCCGUAGG
rnacentral:rRNA from 1 species